ACGGAGGGUGCAAGCGUUAUCCGGAAUUAUUGGGCGUAAAGGGUGCGUAGGCGGUUUGUUAAGCCUGAGGUGAAAGGCAAGAGCUUAACUAUGGAAAGGCUUGGGAACUGGAAGACUUGAGUGCAGGAGAGGAAAGUGGAAUUCUUAGUGUAGCGGUGAAAUGCGUAGAUAUUAGAAGGAACACCAGUGGCGAAGGCAGCUUACUGGGCUAUAACUGACGCUGAGGCACGAAAGCGUGGGGAGCAAACAG
rnacentral:rRNA from 1 species